UACGGAGGGAGCUAGCGUUGUUCGGAAUUACUGGGCGUAAAGCGCACGUAGGCGGCUACUCAAGUCAGAGGUGAAAGCCCAGGGCUCAACCUUGGAACUGCCUUUGAAACUAGGUAGCUAGAAUUUUGGAGAGGUCAGUGGAAUUCCGAGUGUAGAGGUGAAAUUCGUAGAUAUUCGGAAGAACACCAGUGGCGAAGGCGACUGACUGGACAGAUAUUGACGCUGAGGUGCGAAAGCGUGGGGAGCAAACAGG
rnacentral:rRNA from 1 species